rnacentral:rRNA from 1 species
CACGUAGGGUGCGAGCGUUGUCCGGAAUUAUUGGGCGUAAAGAGCUCGUAGGCGGUGUGUCGCGUCGGCCGUGAAAACCUGCAGCUUAACUGUGGGCGUGCGGUCGAUACGGGCAUCACUGGAGUUCGGCAGGGGAGACUGGAAUUCCUGGUGUAGCGGUGAAAUGCGCAGAUAUCAGGAGGAACACCGGUGGCGAAGGCGGGUCUCUGGGCCUGUACUGACGCUGAGGAGCGAAAGCGUGGGGAGCAAACAGG